UGAAUUUGGAGGUUCGUUUGACAUACCGAUUGUAAACCUUGUGGUGAAAGAGUCUGUCAACGGCCACCACUACUGAUUUUUGCAUCUUGUUUGACACUACCAAUCCCACCACCGACUUCAUUUGUGACGGCCUGACGACGAUGCUAGGGUUUAGACCACGAGGAAACAAAAAUCAAAGCUAAAAAUGAAUAAGAGAGUAAAUCAAAAUGGUACCUGAUUACUAUGCUUUAACAGUGAUACUACAGUGACGGCAGAUGCUGACGGAGGUCGAUGGCGCACGACAAUAACUUGUGGUGAGGCGGCGGCAGGGGUUCAGGGGGCGGUUAGUGUCUGAGUUGAGUGAAAUUGGAUUUCGUUUAUUGUUGCUUUAAACUCCUCAUCGACUGUGUUUGUGACUGUUAUUCACAGUGAAUCGUCAGUAAUCAUGUGCGAAGUUUCACGUGAGUAAUCCGCAAAUAACUUAAUUAUUUUUCUCUAGGACACAAUUAACAAAAGCAAAGCACCAAAUUCUUUUUCUCUUAGACAGUUCAUCAAACACUUGGUGGGCAUACGUCCAUAAACACAUCCAUUCACAAUAUAAAGUAACAAAAUCUGAGUCAAGGCCUCAUGAUAACUUAAUCAAACAAAAUGCCACAUCUGAAAUUUCAUAAUUAAUUCAAAUUAAAGCAACAAAAUCUCAAAUAGCCCUCUUCAAACUCAUUCUCCAUCAUCUCAUAAGCUAAACUCAUUAAAUAACUACAACAGUCACACAAUAAUAAUUACAACAGCAAACAGUAAUAAAUCAACAAUACCAUCAAAAUGAUAAAAGUAAAAAAGAAAAAAAAAAAAAAAACUAAAACAGAUGAAAAUAGGUGAAAAACCGUGCCUAAGGUGAGAAACUUGAAGCUAAAAGGUUGGUCCUUGCUAAGAUAGCUUCAGCGAACGGACCUACCGCCGUAGCUCACCAACUAAAUGAAGCUCACUAUCAGAAGUUCAAAGAGAUUUUAAAUUUCAAGAUGAAAUAUGGUAAACAAAAAGAAUGUGUAAAUUAUAAUAAAAAUUUAUUGAAAUAUUGAUUUUAUUUUUA
rnacentral:lncRNA from 1 species